rnacentral:rRNA from 1 species
GACGAACGCUGGCGGCGUGCUUAACACAUGCAAGUCGAACGGGUCUGCCCUGUUUUUUGCGGGGUGGGUCAGUGGCGAACGGGUGAGUAACACGUGAGUAACCUGCCCCUCACUUCUGGAUAACCGCUUGAAAGGGUGGCUAAUACGGGGUGUUCUGGCUGUGCCGCAUGGUGUGGCUGGGAAAGAUUCACUUUUGUGGUGUUUUGGUGGGGGAUGGGCUCGCGGCCUAUCAGCUUGUUGGUGGGGUGAUGGCCUGCCAAGGCUUUGACGGGUAGCCGGCCUGAGAGGGUGGGCGGUCACACUGGGACUGAGAUACGGCCCAGACUCCUGCGGGAGGCAGCAGUGGGGGGUAUUGCACAAUGGGCGGAAGCCUGAUGCAGCGACGUCGCGUGAGGGAUGGAGGCCUUCGGGUUGUGAACCUUUUUCGCCGGUGAAGAAGGUCCUGCUCUUUGGGGUGGGGUUGACGGUAGCCGGGUUAUGAAGCGCCGGCUAACUACGUG